AAAUCUUAUGGUAUAUGCAUGGAACAUUAAAUAUAAAUCUAUAUCUAUACCUAAUAAUAAAGAGGUAAAAUUCCAGCCGUUUUUUUGGUCUGGAGUUUUUUUUUGGUCUGCCUACUUAUAAGGAUGGAGAGAUUGGACCCAGACCUCGGUGGAGACUUGAGUCCGCCAAGAUAACCAGGAUAAAAAACAUAGGAAGCACCCGGAUCUUCUGGGAUCUCCUUCGUAACAUCAAAUCCAGCGCGAAAAUGACACCACCUGGUACCCAACAAUGCACCAAACCAAAUCUAAAUUCAAGAUCAAGUCCAAAACGAAAUCACAUACAUGAAAAUCACGUAUCAAAUAAAGGACACCAACCAUAUAUUAUAUUACAUAAUAAAAACUCGAGCACAAAAUCAAGACGGACAUGGCAAGAGAUGCAGAGAGGGCUGCGUGGGCGAGGAGGGUGACGACGACGACGCGAGGAGGGAAGAUGACGACGGCGUGAGCGAGGCUGUCGUAGACGAGGUUAGCGUCGAGGUGUGGGUACUCGGUAGGCGCUGAAGCAGGACAGCAAUGUCGGGCGGUGUCGACGAAAGCUGGUCGGCAGUCUACCUUGGGGUAUACCCACGGUAGUAGUUUAUCGGUAAACGGUGCGCAAACUACGAACUCGAUGGUGACGCAAGACACGGACAAGCUUUUUAUCCAGGUUCGGCCGCCGAGUUGGCGUAAUACCUACGUCCUGCGUCUGGUUGUAUUGGAUUGUGUUGAGAGAUCAUCUAUCCUAGGGGGGUCCCUUGCCCCUCCUUAUAUAGUCGGGAGGGCAGGGUUACAGAUCUAGAAACUAAUCCUAGUCGGUUACAAUUGCCAUAGAUAAUUCGAUAUCAAUUCCUAUUCUAACCGACUAGAAUCCUGCUUGAUCUCCACGUCUUGUUUCCUUGCGCGAAACUCGGCUUGUCGGAUCGAGCCUUGAACUUGUCUCGUAGUGGGUCAAGCUUCCUGGCUGAAGUCUAGCCGUAAGGGUAUAGGGGUUUAUACCCCCACAGCUAGUCCCCGAGCGCCAUGUAUUGUGAUGCAACACGCCGUCUUGAGCUUCUUCGAUCAGCGAGGCUUGUCGUCUUCAAUAAGCGGGGAAAUCGCCCAAGCAGUUGCAACGGUUCCUUGUCCAACUCGAAAGACAGUUGAUCAAUGUUGACAUCGAAGAAGCAGGUUGUUCGAAGAAUGCAUGGUGCUCUAAAAAAAAUUUCUUUCCUGGUGAAGUGUGCCCACUUUGCCUUUCUGAAAGGUAGAAGUAUCAAAAAAGCAAGCAAAUUCACCGCUAGGUGAAGUGUGCCCACUUAGUCCCCGAGCCUGGUAGUAGGUGGCGUAGGCACGUAGUGCCAGGGUCAAAAGAAAAUUCCCCAAAGUAGUUUUGAGACUGAGAUGCAUCGCUAGAUGCAUCGUACCGAUGUAGUCCCCGAGCUUGCUGGAAGGCGAAGUAUGUGCCUUGUAGCAAGGUCUAAAAAAUUGAAUUUACCAGUCCCCGAGCAUGUCAUGCUCGUCUGCAAUCGAAAAGACCAAUCGACCAGUCCCCAGGCACUUAGUGUGCUGCUUGGAAUUAUAUGUUACUAUACUGUACGACCAGUCCCUGAGCAUCGAGUGCUCAGUUUCCUAAGCAUGCUUUAAAGCUUUGUGCUGAUAGACUGAGCGACCAGUCCCCGAGCGUCGAGUGCUCGGUGGUCGGUGCAGUCCUUGAAGUUCUGAGUUGAUAGACUGGGCAACCAGUCCCCGAGCGUCGAGUGCUCGGUGGUCGGUGCAGUCCUUGAAAUUCCGAGCUGAUAAACUCGGCAACCAGUCCCCGAGCGUCGAGUGCUCGGUGGUCGGUGCAGUCCUUGAAGUUCCGAGCUGAUAAACUGGGCAACCAGUCCCCGAGCGUCGAGUGCUCGGUGGUCGGUGCAGUCCUUGAAGUUCCGAGCUAAUAGACUGGGCAACCAGUCCCCGAGCGUCGAGUGCUCGGUGGUCGGUGCAGUCCUUGAAGUUCCGAGUUGAUAGACUGGGCAACCAGUCCCCGAGCGUCGAGUGCUCGGUGGUCGGUGCAGUCCCCGGAUUGCUGACUCACUGGCGCAUGUGUCUUCUUACUUUUGAAAAGGUCUUUCAAAUUUAAAGUUGACGUGACGGGGUCUCCUGACGAUAUGUCAGACGGAUGCAUGAAAAGCUGUACCUGGCAACUGUACAACCGCUCUUUGCAUGGUUUGAGAAAAGGAAACCAUCAAUUGGUACGAAAACUCCGCCGCAUUAAUUGUCUAUAAUCAUUGUAAACUGAAACGCCGCGUCCGCCGCAUGGCCUGCCCACUUCCCGAGAAUACAGGAAGUGGGAGAGGUGGGGUCGCGGGUUUAUAAGGGCCUAAUAGGACCGCCUGUACCGCUUCUCCUGCCAUUGCCUUCAAACCUUCCGCUCUCAUCUUCUCCAAUCUCCUGCAUCUUCCUAACUCCAGCCCACAUUCGCACCUCUAAUGGCGAAGAGCGACUCCAGGAAGAGGGCCGAACUGAUGGCCAAGGAAUGGAAGAAGUCUCGCAGCACCACAAAAUCUCUUGGUGACCUCGUCGAUAUGGGGCUUCUGCACGACGCAGAGCUCGGCAGCUGGAGGGCACCGGAGGGGGAGAGCUACCCCGACCCUCGCGCCGGUGAGAUCGUCGUUUUUGAAGAUUUCGUUAAGAGAGGUUUUGGUGUUCCUGUCCAUCCUUUUCUUCAAGGACUUCUUUUGUACUAUGAGAUCGAGAUUUGCAAUCUGCACCCGAACUCAAUUCUCCUUAUUUCCACCUUCAUCCAUCUGUGCGAGGCCUAUGUUGGCAUAGAGCCGCACUUCGAUCUUUUCCGGUACCUUUUCUGCUUGAGGAAGAAGGGAGCAGUUGGAGGCUCCAAGGUUGCAGGUGGAGUAUACCUCAACCUUCGUGAUGGGAUGAAGAAUCGCUACCUGCACUGCCCAUGGAACACUUCCUUGACCGAAUGGUACAGGAAGUGGUUCUACGUGAGGGAGGAACCGGGCAGCUCCACGUUCUGCGACGUGGGGUACAUUCCCGAGAAGAGGUCGAGCUGGACCGACCGCCCAGAGUUCGACGGUCAAGUGGCGGAUCUGAUGAAGCUGAUCGACUGGUCGCGCCUGGAUGGGCUUGGCGUGGUCGGCAACUUCAUUUGCCGCCGGGUGAUGCCCUGCCAGAAGAGGGUGCACUCGGCGUACGAGUAUGCCGGAAGCGCAGACCCGACCAGGAUGCGGUCGGAGAUCCUGGAGAAAGCGGAGGUACAACAGCUGUUGAACGAGCUGUUUAACUUCGCAGAUGGGGGCUUCAUCCGUGGCAGUGAUCGGGUGCAAGCUUUCAAGUUAGGACGACCAGCACCAAAGGUAUGUAGCAGAGUCUGUUUGAUCAUUCGUAUAUCGUCUGCAGUUAACUCAUCUCUGUUGCUUUUGCAGGUCCGUGAUGUCGACCGGUGCGCAGUGUAUGUAUCACUGGCACUGGGAAUGGAAGAUCCUGUGGGAGAGGUUCCGCCGGAGGAGGACGCUGCUCGGUGUACUCGUUACACCAGCAGUGAGGAAGACCGAGCCCGCCCCGUCCCGACCUCCGAGGAGAGGGUAGCGGGGAAAAGGCCAUUGCCGGCGGAUCCCUUGCCGACACCGGAGCUGCCGGCAGACCUACCGGCGGAGAGCAGCCAAGCGCCGAAGCGUCGUCGGCUCGUGCGGAUCGUCGACGACGACGACGACGAGGAGGCUGCGCCGUCGUUGGUCUGACGGCCUCGGAACCGCCCAGACACUGCGCCGGUCGCCACUGAUCGAGUGGCCAGCGGCGCCGCUGCCCCGCAGGUUGCCGAGGUGGGGGCACAGGCGCCGACCGGCCGGGCGAGGAGGAGGUUUACCGCGACCCAUCGUCGGUCAGACCUGUAAGUGUUCGACUUACGAAUUUUGGACUCUCUCUUUUUUUUUUUACUUUUGGUCCUGUAGUGCGGCAUCGGAUGUCGACCCUGGCCAAACUGCCGGCCAGGGAACGGGCGAGCCUGCCCGCGGUUCUGGGGAUGCGGCUCCCCAGACCACAGAGCAGGCAACAGCUGCAGUCGCGCCUGGGGGCACCGAGGGGCUCCCGAGCGCGGCGCCGACUACAACAAGCAGCCCGACCAGGGCUGGAGAGGCUCCCCCAACUGACUCCUCGGAGAAGGGAAGAUCUCCGACCGCUCCUCCUGCCGGAGGGAGUGAAGUCCCCCCGCCGCCCCGAGCAGGAGCCUCUCCGGCUGCGGGCUCCCCAGGUCUGGUCCAAGGGCCAGUGAUGCCUGGGACCACCACCGGGGGUGACGCAGCCCAGGAGGAGGAGACCAGGGCGGCCUCCGACGACGAGGUGGAAGAGAUCGAGGGUCGUCCCCGUGAUGGCCGCCAACACGUGUAUGUGUGGCGCCAACGCGGGGAUCACUUUAUCGGUCAUGAGGAGCUUGCCGAGUCCGAAGAGGCCGCCAGGGUGGAGCGCGCGGCCAAGCGCCUUGUCGACGAAGUCAAGGUAAGCGGCCUUUUGUGCUACUGCGCAUUCUUUUGCCUUGUCUUGCUUGAUCGUGACAUGCUUGCUUUGUAGGACGUAAUGAAAACGGCAAAGUACCGGAAACGGUGCUUUGACCAGAUAGAAGGCGUCAUGGCCGAGAACAAGGCCCUUGCCGCGGAGGUAGACCGGUUGCGGGCGGAGGUCGGGGAGAAGGUGGUCGAGAUGAGCGCCGAAAAGGAGCGUCGUCUCGACCUCGCUCGUCGUCUGGCCGACCAGUACCGACUGCAGGAAGGUUAGUCACACGCUCCGAGCAGUUUCGCAUACUUGUAUAGUUUGCUUUGCUGACCAGUUUAGGAUUCACGCAGACUUGGAGGAGGAGGUGGCGAGCCUCCAACAAGAGAAGGAGCAGCUCGGCCAACAGCUCGCCAGUGCACAGGAGUCCGAGCGGCGAGCGGAAGAGGAAUUGGGUCGAAAAGACCGGGAGUUAGCUGGUAAUGGGUGCCGCCUUGUUGGUUGCUGCCUGCCCCUUUGCUUGUCUGGUAUGCCGAAAGUAACGUUUCGUUUCGUUUGCAGUGUUCAAGGUGAACACCAAGAAGCACCUGGAUGACCUGAUCAAGGACCGGGACUCCUGGAAGGUCAACUGUUGCAGGAUCUGGAAGGGAGUGUCCCCGGUCCUGGACCUGAUCAGUCCCGAGCUCCCGGAGAGCCAGCCCCGCGUGCCGCAGUUGACCCCGGUCGAGAAGGCGCAACGGGCGUGGGACUGGCUCCAGCAGUUUGUGAAGGAUGCCGGGGAGUUUGCCGGCGCGCACGUCCUCAGCAUGGUACGCGCCCACUACCCCCUGGUCGACUUGAGCAGGCUGGAGAAGGGGUACCCGAAGGAAGUCGGCCCACAGGAAGCGGACGAACUUCGGGGUAGUCUGCUGGACUUGUCGUCGACAGUGAUCGGCGACAUCAACCUGUGCGGAACGGCCACUCCUCCAGACCAGCCGAGCUCAGAUAGGUCGGCCAGGGAGUUGUCGGGCGCGUCCGUUGCUGGAGAUGGGCGGUCGACGCCUGCGGUCUCGACCAGCCAGGCGCCGGUGGCCCCGACCCCUUCGUCCGGGCAGCAGGGCCAGGCGGGUGAUCAGCCCGAGCAGCUAGGCCAAUAAAGUAGUCUGUAGGAAUAGACUAGUAUCUGCCCGUCAGGGUAUUUAUUGUAAACUUUGUAUGUAAAGUUUGUAAUAAAGUUUUCUUUUUUGUCAUGACUGUUGUUUUGAGCGCUGUACAAUAUCUGAGUGACGUGUCACCGUAUUUGUCUUGGUUGUCGCCAAGAGCAUCCAUUGCAGGAGUUUUGCCGAGUGCUGUGUAUGACAAGGUAUAGGCGAAAAAUAGAAAAUCUUAUUAUCAAAAAUUAUAAGAUACUUACAAAAGAAAGUCAUUAAAACUUUAUGGAUAGAAACGUCGCAGUUUGUCGAUGUGCCAAGAGUUAGGUACUCGUGUUCCGUCUGGGUAUGCCAAUCUGUAGGACGUAGGUCGUGUGACCCCGGUCACGACGAAGGGUCCUUCCCAGGGAGUGGAUAACUUGUGCAUUCCCUCCUGACUUGUUUUCCAUCGGAGUACCAGAUCGCCGACCACGAAGGAACGGUCCUUGACGUUCCUGUUGUAGUAUCGCCUGACUGCCGCGAGAUAUUUUGCUGUUCGGAGACAUGAAACUAAACGCUUUUCUUCCAUGCAAUUGAUUUCGAGUUCUCUGGCGUUGUCGGCGGUCGCCUGGUCGAAGUGCUCGAUUCUGGGAGAUCCGAAGUGUAUGUCGGACGGCAAGACCGCCUCUGCACCGUACACCAUGAAGUAGGGAGACACCCCUGUGUUUCGACUGGUCUGAGUUCGGAGGCCCCAGACCACUGCCGACAAUUCUUUCAUCCAUCGACCGGGUGCCCUGUCGUUCUCGGUGUACAAUCUUUUCUUUAGGGCGUCGACGAUCAUUCCGUUGGCACGUUCAACUUGACCGUUGGCACGUGGAUGUGCCACUGACACAUAUUUUAUGACUAUGCCUCUGUCAUCGCAGAAAUCCCAAAAAGUGGUGCCAGUAAACUGAGUGCCCAGGUCGGUGAUUAUGCUGUUCGGGAUGCCGAAUCUGUGUAUGAUUUGAUUGAGGAACUCCACAGCCUUCUCGGAGGUUGCCUUGACCAGGGGCAUGUAUUCAAUCCACUUGGAGAACUUGUCGAUUAACACGAAGACAAACUUGAAGUUGCCCGGGGCUGGUUUGAAUGGUCCGAUCAUGUCGAGCCCCCAGCAAGCAAAGGGCCAAGACGACGGGAUGGUUUGAAUUUCAUGGGCAGGUACGUGGGUCCUCUUAGCGAAAAACUGACAUCCUUCGCAAUGUCGAACCAGUUUUUCUGCGUCGCUAACCGCGGUUGGCCAAUAAAAACCUGCUCGGAAGGCCUUUCUGACCAGCGUUCUAGAUGCGGCGUGGUUGCCGCAGGAUCCGGCGUGUAUGUCCUCUAAGAGCUUGAUACCAUCGUCUUGGGGUAUGCACUUGAGCAGUACCUCGGAGCUUGCGUUUUUCCGCAUGAGUUUUCCGUCAACCAGGAUGUAGUUCUUUGAUCGCCGGAUGAGACGUUCGUUCUCUGUUUUGUCUUGAAAACCUGUCCCGUCCGAGAUGUAUUUGAUGAACGGGAUACGCCAGUCACGCCCACCGGUUGUCGGAGUGGCGUCAUCUAUGAGCAUUGCCUCGGUGGGUUGCUUGUCGACCAGGGGGGAGCUUACGCUCGGCUCAUGGAUGUCCUGGACGAAAAUACCCCGCGGGAUUUGGGCCCGAGACGAGCCUAACUUUGACAACGCAUCUGCUGCUUGGUUCUUAUCCCGGACCACGUGGAUGUACUCUAUGCCAUAGAAGUUAGUUUCCCAUCUGCGAAUUUCUUUGCAGUAGAGAUCCAUCUUCUCGUGGGUUGCGUCCCACUCUUUGUUGAGCUGGUUGAUGACCAAAGCGGAGUCGCCGUAAACAUAGAGGCGCUUGACCCCCAGUUCAACGGCUAGUCGUACGCCAUGUAAGCAAGCUUCGUAUUCGGCGACAUUGUUUGACGCCGGAAAAAGGAUCCGAAGGACGUAGCGGAGUUUGUCCUUGUUUGGUGAUACGAACAAUAUCCCAGCGCCUGCACCGUUGAUGUUCAAGGACCCAUCAAAGAACAUUGACCAGUGGUCUGAGACAUCUGGGACGGAAGGUUCGUUGAGAUCCGUCCAUUCGGCAAUGAAAUCGACCAGGGCUUGAGACUUGACAGUGGUGCGACUCUGGAACUCUAGGGAAAAUGGACAUAAUUCCAUUGCCCAUUUCACGAUUCUGCCAUUGGCGUCUUUAUUGCGCAGGAUGUCCCCGAGAGGAAAGCUGGUUGUCACCAGGACUCGAUGGCCGUCGAAGUAGUGCUUCAGCUUUCUGGACGUUAUCAGGAUGGCGUAUAUAAGCUUCUGUAUUUGUGGGUACCUGGCCUUGGAUUCGUUUAAAACUUCACUUAUGAAGUAAACGGGUCUCUGGACCUUGAAGACGUGACCUGGUUCAUCUCGCUCGACCACUAUUGCCGUGGAAACAACCCUGUCGGUUGCAGCAAUGUAAAGGAGCAGGUCUUCAUUGGGCUGAGGCGCUGUGAGGACAGGCGGUGAAGUGAGGAAGGUCUUAAGCUGAGUGAACGCAGCGUCGGCUUCUUCUGUCCAGGAGAAUUUUUCUGAUGCUUUCAAUAGUUUGAAGAAAGGGAGGCCUUUUUCUCCCAGCCUUGAGAUGAAACGACUGAGGGCGGCCAUGCAUCCGGUUAGCUUCUGAAUAUCCUUGACGUUCUUCGGUGGUCGCAUGUCGAGUACGGCUUUGACUUUUGAAGGGUUUGGUCGUAUGCCGUCGCAACUGACGACGUUGCCGAGCAGUAGACCGGAAGGGACGCCGAAAAUGCAUUUCUUGGGGUUGAGCUUCCACUUGUACCUAUUGAGUGCCUUGAAGGUUCGGUCUAAGUUGUCGAUUAGGGUGCUCGCGUCCCUUGUUUUUACGACUACGUCGUCCACAUAGGCCUCGACGAGGUCAUCGCGAAUCUCGUCGUGGAGGCAUUGCUGGAUGGCCCUUUGAUAAGUGGCCCCGGCGUUUUUAAGUCCGAAAGACAUGGUAGUGUAACAGUAUGCGCCGAAGGGCGUGAUGAAGGAUGUUUUGAUCUGAUCUUCUUCCUUUAACGAGAUCUGGUGAUAACCAGAGUAGCAAUCUAGAAAGGAGAGGAGUUCGCAUCCGGCCGUUGAGUCGACCACCUCGUCGAUGCGAGGAAGACCAAAAGGAUCUUUAGGACAGUGUUUGUUGAGAUCGGUGUAAUCAACGCACAUUCUCUAUUCAUUAUUCUUUUUGCGUACAAGAACCGGAUUGGCGAGCCAAUCGGGAUGAUACACCUCUUUUAUGAAUCCGGCUGCUAGAAGCCGUGUUAUUUCUGUCCUAAUGGCCUCCUUUUUGUCACGAGCGAACCGUCGCAGUUUUUGCUUGAUUGGUCUUGCGGUCUUCGAGACGUUUAAGGAGUGCUCGAUCAGGUUUCGUGGGACACCGGGCAUGUCUGCGGGUUUCCAUGCGAAAACGCUCACGUUGUCCCUUAGAAACCUGACGAGCGCGUCUUCCUAUUUUGGAUCCAGGUUAGCCCCGAUGAGGGCUGUCUUCUCGGGGUUGCCUUCGACCAGCUGCACUUCUUUGUACUCCUUGGAUUUCGAAUUCUUUCUGGAUGUCUCCUGCUCAGGUAAUCGGAGCUGGUCGGGAGGCAGCUGUGCGGCUUGGCUUGCUGUUUCCGCCAUGCGGAUUGAGAGGUCAAUUGCCUCGGUGAUCUUGAAGCUUUCUUCUUCGCAGGUGUACGCCGUGUAGACGUUGCCUCUGACGGUUAGGACACCCUUCUCCGUGGGCAUCUUAAGCACUAGGUAUGAGUAGUGCGGGACUGCCAUGAACUUUGUCAGCGAUGGGCGGCCCAGUAUGGCGUGGUAGGUCCCGUCGAAGUCCGCGACUACGAAGUUGAUGAACUCCGUCCGGAAGUGAUCGGGUGUGCCGAAUUGGACAGGCAAUGUUAUCUGUCCGAGGGGCACAUAUAACACCCCAAAAUUUCAAUUUUGGGUUGUUAUUAGAAAAUACUAAAUAAAAUGAAGGUUUUUAAUAUAUGGAUAAAAAUUUGCCAAUAAUUGUUUAGAUUUUCAUAUACGGUUAUCAAAGAAAAAUAGUGCUUUUUAAAUAUUGUGGAAUUAAUUAGACGAGCUUAGUUGAUGUGAAGCUUUUUUGUUGCUUGAGUUGGUUGUUUUUGUAUGUGCUAAGUUACAAAAAUACGUUUAGACGUUGAUAGAUCCUUCCUAGAAAUUUUCUAGACUUUUUCGGGCUUUUUUUUUCUAUUUUUCCUAGAACAAAAACUAUUUUUUUAGAUGCUCUAAAAUUCUUUUUUAUAGACACCAAAAACUUUAUUUGGAUUGAUCAACUCUCAAUAUAUCUCUAAAAGUUUUCCUUUAAUUUUUAGAAUUUUGGAAAUAUUUUUCAGGAAUUUAAAAUGAUUUCAGCUUUUUCUAGAAUUGUUUUAGAACUGAAAAUAAUUUAUUUAAAAUCCCGAAAUUAAGAAAUUCUAAAACUUUUCCAAACCCUAGACCUAUAUAUAUGCCGGCGUAGCCCUCGACGCGCUGAUUUCAGAAGUACGACCCUUUUUCCGAGCCGCCGCUCGUAGCUCCGUAGAUCCAUCACCGAAGUUUCGGAUCUCGUUUCCGGCGAACUUUUCCGGUGAAAGUUCGGCGAGCUUUUCCGGCCAACUCCGGCGUCCUCUGCAGAAACCGUUACCACUCCGAGGUUCGUCUCGAUCUCCUCUACACCGGCACGCCCUUAUUUUCGCGAUUCCGUGUUCGUUCAUCGUUUCCCUAAUCUAUUCUUCUCUUUUCCGGCGAGGUCAUCCAUGGACGAGCUCGUUCAUCAUCUCCAUCGGCCGGCCACGUUACCCUUCAGGCCAGCGGCGCCAAGCCUCGUGCCUCCCCUCUGCUAGCCACCUCCCCGCGCAACCUACGUCGCCUGGCCCUACGCGUGGCUGCAGGCCAAGGGCAGCAACACGCUGUGCUCAUGCACCGGCCGUGCGUGGCCUAGCACCACGGGCGAGGGCGCGUGGCCCAGCUUGGGCGCGUGCGAGCCCUCCAUCUGGCCGGACAGCAGGCCAAGGCCCCACGCCCGAGGCCUCUGUGCCCCUGCACAAGCGCCUCGACAAGAGCAGCAGCGGACAGCCAUAGAUGCAUACGUGAACACGGUGAACCAAGGUAGAAGACGACUUAAUUACAAGUUUGCCACUGGUCAUUAAUCCUUCGCUAUUUAAUCGUUCUAACUCCGUUUCAUUCCGUUUCAAUUGCGUUAGUUUCGUAACGUCGCGCUCUACGCAGUAGUGCUAACUUUUAUUAUGUCAUAUAUUUUGAUAUAUAUUUAGUUGAAUAUUAGAUUAAUUAAUAUAUGUACUUAAUUUUAUAAUUAAAUGCACUAUACAGUUAAAAUCAUGUUUUCUAUUGUUUUGUGAUCAUGGCAACGAAAAUGACUUGUUAGCGAUACUGUUUUCCAUGUCCCAUGUUUAUAAAUAUAAUUAGUUUAAUUAAUAUUUAUUGAGUGCCAUUUUUUAAUUAUUAAAAAAACAAUUUAGGUUUACACUUCGGUAUUUUUUUAUAAUCUACUAUUAAUUUGAUUAAUGUUAACUUAAAUAUUUAUUAAUUAUAAUUCUUUUAGUUAGACAUAAAGUAUAUAAUUUGUUUAAUAUUUAUUUAAUGUCUUUUUGAUUAAAAAUAACUUAUGUUUCUAAUUUAGAUCUUUUAUAAAUAAAUAAAUGAUAACAUUAUUAAUAUCAACUUAAAUGAUUCUUUAUUAAUUAUAACUUGUUUAGUAUAAAUGGAAGCAUGUUAGGAUUUGAUUAGUUGCUCUCACUUGCUUUAUGUUUCUAAAAUUACAAAGACGUAAAGGCUUAAAUGAUAUAUAAUCAUCUACAAUUAAAAUAUAACUAAAGUUUAACUCUGGUUUUUAUAAUUCAACAUAAUUUGAUUAAUGAUUGCACAUAUUUGUUUCUAAAUAAAAGUAACAUAUGAAAAUAUUGACCUUUUUAUAAUUACUUGUCAACUUAAAUGUGUAUUUAUCAAUUAUUAAUUUGCCUUGUUCAAAUAUGAUCAUAUAAAGUUGUUUUAAAUGAAUUUAAUUAGUAGUUAUUCAAUGUCUUUUUGAAUUUGAAGUAGUUUAGGUUUAUCUCCGAUCUUUCAUAAAUCAUAUUAAUUAUAUAAUAUCAACAUAAAUGCCUUGUUAGUUAUGACUUGCUCCGUUUAACUUUGAAAAUAAAUAGUGAUUCUAAUUAAGUUGUUAUCACUCGUUUUAUAUUCUCUAAGCUAUGAAUGCUAAAAUAGUUUAAAUACUUUCUAUAAUUAUUUAUAAAUAGAGUAUGACUAGAACUAUACUUCAUCUUUUUAUAAUUAUAAUUUGUUUAAUUCCACUUUUUGAGUUGUUUCUCUAAAAAGUCUAUCACCUCUCUUCAUCAAAUAAAAUAGAUCAAGCGAAUAGUUGGUCUUCUUCGUUGCGCUUCGAACCUCGAAAGUCGUGUCCGAUAAACUAUAGCUCCGUUCUUAAACGUUCUUGCGUUGUCUCGAUCAUAGCAAUAAGUCGUGUCGUUAGAGCGCUCUUUCUAAGCUUCUCUUUUUAUUGUCGUUUGUUCUUAGUCGUGAUUGUUGUUUGUCUGUUUGUGUCGCUUGGUUGCUACGAGCAGAAGAAGCGUGUUCGUUAGCGCCGAAGACCAGGAGCUGAGGACCGACAGUCGAAGCAGAAGUUGGAGAUUAGGAGAAAGAAGCUAAAGAAUUCUGAGCAGUUAUACACUGGAAAUAAAGGCAAGUGCAGACACCGUUUGAUCAUUUUGAACCUACUCAUUAAUGUCAUUUACUUUUUAUGCAUGUGUCCAAUGAAUGCAAACCCUAAGGACAUGACUAGCUCUACUUAUUAUUCCUUGUUCACCUGGGGUUAUGUAUAUGGGUAGACUAGGCCAUACUAGUUUUGCUUAGCUGCUCUACUCAUCCUAUACACAUGUUUAAACAAGAAUUACUCUCUACUCAACUUGAUGCUUAAAUUGUGCUGAAUCUUUGGUCACUGCGGUGAUGGUGAUGUUGGAUGCUUAUGAGCAUCGUGAUGAUGGUGGUGACAGGGGGAGCGGGUACCGUUGGUGGUCCGGUUUGCCGGGCGUACCCGUCUCUGCUCUCCGUAAGGACUUAGUCAGGGAGCGGCCCCCUGGGACUUACAGUGCAGCUCCAAGCUAUAUGGGCUCUGGCUUGACUAAUUAUCAGGACCUCCGCUGGUAGGGUGUUACUUUCCGGGUAGGCGUAAGGAAUGUAGCUUGGGUAUUCAUAUUAAGAGGUCGGUCAGUUCGGGGGCCCAUUGCUAUGGGCACGGCUGCCGCGCGCCCCGGCAAAAACUUACGAGUGGCAUCCUAUUAGUUGGACCCUGUGAAAGGUCUCGUAGUGAAACCCUGCCUGCUCACCUUGGUAGUGUUUUGGGGAGUCGCGACCCCGGGCAAAUGGGAAUCACGACUUGGAGUGAACGUGCACACCUCUGCAGAGUGUAAAACUGAUAUAUCAGCCGUGCUCACGGUCACGAGCGGCCCAGACCCUCACUUGAUGAGCAAAUUGGAUUCACUGGAUACUUGGAGAUGGAACUUGGCGAGGUUGCUACCUCGUGUUUUGGCGGAAUGGCUAUUCCGUGUUGGUAGGAUUGCUAUCCUGUGUUAAUAAUUGGGGUUAAUCCCUAGGCUUCUAUAUUAAUUAGGAUAGUCCUUUAAAAGAUGCUAAUUACUACUUACACUAAUUAAGGGUUGGGUUUAUGCUACUCAUAAUUAGUAAUAGGUUGUUCUUAUAAUAGUCAUAAUUAAAAGUGAUCAACUAAAAUGCUACCGCAGUCAAACCAAGUCAGCUUUACCUUGUUUUAAGCCUUGCAUGUCAUUACUUUCCGUCUGUGCUUGCUGAGUUCGACAUGAACUCACCCUUGCUAUUUCCUCCACACCCCCAGUGUGUAGUAAAGUGCUGCUCAGAAGAAGGAUAAAGAUGUCAUGGAGUUUUCUAGAAGCUUAUGAGAAGUGCUUGGCGUACGGAGCCCCAGUCAACCGUCCCUGAGAAGAAUGGAGCCUAAGAAGUUCUAGCUACUGUUUCCGCGUACUCUGAUGUUUUGUAAGUGUUAAUAUAAAUAUGUUUUCCGCUAUAAAUAACAUUGUUUCUGAUAUUUCUAUUCUUUGUUGUAUGUGUGGACUUCCUGGGCACACAUAUGACAACUCUGGUCUUAUUUUAAAAGCCAGGGUGUGACAGGAAUGGUAUCAGAGCGAUGUUGAGUGUAGGACGUAUGCCUAGAUAGCACUGGUCGAUUUCUAAAGUAUAUUUUAAUAUAAAACUAUUUUCUCAUCCCUUGACUAUUUGAUUCUGACUAUUUCCUCCCCCUUGUCAUUUUGUAUCCUCUCCUUGAAUAGCUUCCUUUGAGCUAUUUCUAUUUAUCUCCUUGGCUUUUAUUUAGUUGUUUUACUUAAGUUUUGAAAACUUAUUUAUUCCAAAAUUCGAUGACCCUUCAUCAUAUCGGAAUUACCCUUUAGGAUGACCACCACCGUUGAAGAAGCACGUGUAGCAUCGUUGAUGUGAUGUGUGCUUGUCUUGCUUGGUUUGUGUUUUGUGUGUUGUUUCUGCUCUAGUGUUUUGAAGGAGGUCUGGAAGAAAAUCAUUUGGGGAUUAGUUUGACCUUUGUUAAGUGGGGUAGUAAUCUCUCUUAUCCUAUCCAUCUAUUGUCAAUCAUGAUCCUCUGCCACUCUUGAUAUCUUGAACGAAAGGAAGUUUGAAGAUUGUCUCUUGUUUGCCUCCUCGAAUCUCAAGACAAGAUUCUUGUUAACUUGGAGGGUGUUACAUGUUGUUUCAAGUGGAGAAUCCCCUAAGCUAGUUUUCCUACAAGAUGAUGUUCACAUAUAUGUUCUCGAAGAUAAGCCAUACUUUGCCAGAGUGGGGUAGCGUCUGCUACCGUCAUCUAUCUCAAGUAUCUCUAGUUUCAAGACACUAAGAACUAAAGAUCAAUCUUUAUCUUUUAUCUCUACUAUUUUUGUCAUCAAUUUUUUUAUCGUUCUUGUCAAUCUCUCUUUAUCAUUUCACUUAUCGUUCUUCAUCUCUCUUAUCACCCUUUGCGAUCUUUGAUGGUUAUUAAAUUUCAUAAAAUCUCAAAACAAUCUUAAAGAACAACCUUUAUUUUCUUAUCAACCACUGUCAAUCUAUAGUCCUUUUAUCAUCUCUCAUUAGUUACCAUAGAGCUUAAAAUAACCUUAAAGAUUAAUCUUCAUCUUGGUCAAGCUUGGCUAAUUCUCAUUCUUUAUCAUAAAUCCCAUAAAUCUUGAAUGAGGGAAAUUGUAGGCACUAUUGGAUUUAUCUUUAUCUUUUAUACCAUCUUUUGCUAAUAUUUGCUUCUUGUCUUUACACCUCAUAAUGUCAAGACUUGAACCCCAACCUUAUCAUUCUUCUAGCCUCUGCAAAAGAUAAACGAAAGACCAGUCUUUCUUGUGACCUACCUAUAUCCUUCUUAUCAAUUUUUGUUAGUACAUAAUUCCUUCCUCGUCGCACCAUAAAUCUUAAAGAAGAAGUUGAAGGUCAAACUUUGACUUUCCUAGCAACUUUUGUUAAUCUGAAAUCCUCUAUCUCAUCUCGUCAAAAGCCUCGAAACAACCUUGAUGAUCUGCUUUAUCUUUCUCCCAAGUCUUUUCAAAUCUCGGGACGAGAUUCAUGUUAAGUGGGGUAGAUCUAUAACACCCCAAAAUUUCAAUUUUGGGUUGUUAUUAGAAAAUACUAAAUAAAAUGAAGGUUUUUAAUAUAUGGAUAAAAAUUUGCCAAUAAUUGUUUAGAUUUUCAUAUACGGUUAUCAAAGAAAAAUAGUGCUUUUUAAAUAUUGUGGAAUUAAUUAGACGAGCUUAGUUGAUGUGAAGCUUUUUUGUUGCUUGAGUUGGUUGUUUUUGUAUGUGCUAAGUUACAAAAAUACGUUUAGACGUUGAUAGAUCCUUCCUAGAAAUUUUCUAGACUUUUUCGGGCUUUUUUUUUCUAUUUUUCCUAGAACAAAAACUAUUUUUUUAGAUGCUCUAAAAUUCUUUUUUAUAGACACCAAAAACUUUAUUUGGAUUGAUCAACUCUCAAUAUAUCUCUAAAAGUUUUCCUUUAAUUUUUAGAAUUUUGGAAAUAUUUUUCAGGAAUUUAAAAUGAUUUCAGCUUUUUCUAGAAUUGUUUUAGAACUGAAAAUAAUUUAUUUAAAAUCCCGAAAUUAAGAAAUUCUAAAACUUUUCCAAACCCUAGACCUAUAUAUAUGCCGGCGUAGCCCUCGACGCGCUGAUUUCAGAAGUACGACCCUUUUUCCGAGCCGCCGCUCGUAGCUCCGUAGAUCCAUCACCGAAGUUUCGGAUCUCGUUUCCGGUGAACUUUUCCGGUGAAAGUUCGGCGAGCUUUUCCGGCCAACUCCGGCGUCCUCUGCAGAAACCGUUACCACUCCGAGGUUCGUCUCGAUCUCCUCUACACCGGCACGCCCUUAUUUUCGCGAUUCCGUGUUCGUUCAUCGUUUCCCUAAUCUAUUCUUCUCUUUUCCGGCGAGGUCAUCCAUGGACGAGCUCGUUCAUCAUCUCCAUCGGCCGGCCACGUUACCCUUCAGGCCAGCGGCGCCAAGCCUCGUGCCUCCCCUCUGCUAGCCACCUCCCCGCGCAACCUACGUCGCCUGGCCCUACGCGUGGCUGCAGGCCAAGGGCAGCAACACGCUGUGCUCAUGCACCGGCCGUGCGUGGCCUAGCACCACGGGCGAGGGCGCGUGGCCCAGCUUGGGCGCGUGCGAGCCCUCCAUCUGGCCGGACAGCAGGCCAAGGCCCCACGCCCGAGGCCUCUGUGCCCCUGCACAAGCGCCUCGACAAGAGCAGCAGCGGACAGCCAUAGAUGCAUACGUGAACACGGUGAACCAAGGUAGAAGACGACUUAAUUACAAGUUUGCCACUGGUCAUUAAUCCUUCGCUAUUUAAUCGUUCUAACUCCGUUUCAUUCCGUUUCAAUUGCGUUAGUUUCGUAACGUCGCGCUCUACGCAGUAGUGCUAACUUUUAUUAUGUCAUAUAUUUUGAUAUAUAUUUAGUUGAAUAUUAGAUUAAUUAAUAUAUGUACUUAAUUUUAUAAUUAAAUGCACUAUACAGUUAAAAUCAUGUUUUCUAUUGUUUUGUGAUCAUGGCAACGAAAAUGACUUGUUAGCGAUACUGUUUUCCAUGUCCCAUGUUUAUAAAUAUAAUUAGUUUAAUUAAUAUUUAUUGAGUGCCAUUUUUUAAUUAUUAAAAAAACAAUUUAGGUUUACACUUCGGUAUUUUUUUAUAAUCUACUAUUAAUUUGAUUAAUGUUAACUUAAAUAUUUAUUAAUUAUAAUUCUUUUAGUUAGACAUAAAGUAUAUAAUUUGUUUAAUAUUUAUUUAAUGUCUUUUUGAUUAAAAAUAACUUAUGUUUCUAAUUUAGAUCUUUUAUAAAUAAAUAAAUGAUAACAUUAUUAAUAUCAACUUAAAUGAUUCUUUAUUAAUUAUAACUUGUUUAGUAUAAAUGGAAGCAUGUUAGGAUUUGAUUAGUUGCUCUCACUUGCUUUAUGUUUCUAAAAUUACAAAGACGUAAAGGCUUAAAUGAUAUAUAAUCAUCUACAAUUAAAAUAUAACUAAAGUUUAACUCUGGUUUUUAUAAUUCAACAUAAUUUGAUUAAUGAUUGCACAUAUUUGUUUCUAAAUAAAAGUAACAUAUGAAAAUAUUGACCUUUUUAUAAUUACUUGUCAACUUAAAUAUGUAUUUAUCAAUUAUUAAUUUGCCUUGUUCAAAUAUGAUCAUAUAAAGUUGUUUUAAAUGAAUUUAAUUAGUAGUUAUUCAAUGUCUUUUUGAAUUUGAAGUAGUUUAGGUUUAUCUCCGAUCUUUCAUAAAUCAUAUUAAUUAUAUAAUAUCAACAUAAAUGCCUUGUUAGUUAUGACUUGCUCCGUUUAACUUUGAAAAUAAAUAGUGAUUCUAAUUAAGUUGUUAUCACUCGUUUUAUAUUCUCUAAGCUAUGAAUGCUAAAAUAGUUUAAAUACUUUCUAUAAUUAUUUAUAAAUAGAGUAUGACUAGAACUAUACUUCAUCUUUUUAUAAUUAUAAUUUGUUUAAUUCCACUUUUUGAGUUGUUUCUCUAAAAAGUCUAUCACCUCUCUUCAUCAAAUAAAAUAGAUCAAGCGAAUAGUUGGUCUUCUUCGUUGCGCUUCGAACCUCGAAAGUCGUGUCCGAUAAACUAUAGCUCCGUUCUUAAACGUUCUUGCGUUGUCUCGAUCAUAGCAAUAAGUCGUGUCGUUAGAGCGCUCUUUCUAAGCUUCUCUUUUUAUUGUCGUUUGUUCUUAGUCGUGAUUGUUGUUUGUCUGUUUGUGUCGCUUGGUUGCUACGAGCAGAAGAAGCGUGUUCGUUAGCGCCGAAGACCAGGAGCUGAGGACCGACAGUCGAAGCAGAAGUUGGAGAUUAGGAGAAAGAAGCUAAAGAAUUCUGAGCAGUUAUACACUGGAAAUAAAGGCAAGUGCAGACACCGUUUGAUCAUUUUGAACCUACUCAUUAAUGUCAUUUACUUUUUAUGCAUGUGUCCAAUGAAUGCAAACCCUAAGGACAUGACUAGCUCUACUUAUUAUUCCUUGUUCACCUGGGGUUAUGUAUAUGGGUAGACUAGGCCAUACUAGUUUUGCUUAGCUGCUCUACUCAUCCUAUACACAUGUUUAAACAAGAAUUACUCUCUACUCAACUUGAUGCUUAAAUUGUGCUGAAUCUUUGGUCACUGCGGUGAUGGUGAUGUUGGAUGCUUAUGAGCAUCGUGAUGAUGGUGGUGACAGGGGGAGCGGGUACCGUUGGUGGUCCGGUUUGCCGGGCGUACCCGUCUCUGCUCUCCGUAAGGACUUAGUCAGGGAGCGGCCCCCUGGGACUUACAGUGCAGCUCCAAGCUAUAUGGGCUCUGGCUUGACUAAUUAUCAGGACCUCCGCUGGUAGGGUGUUACUUUCCGGGUAGGCGUAAGGAAUGUAGCUUGGGUAUUCAUAUUAAGAGGUCGGUCAGUUCGGGGGCCCAUUGCUAUGGGCACGGCUGCCGCGCGCCCCGGCAAAAACUUACGAGUGGCAUCCUAUUAGUUGGACCCUGUGAAAGGUCUCGUAGUGAAACCCUGCCUGCUCACCUUGGUAGUGUUUUGGGGAGUCGCGACCCCGGGCAAAUGGGAAUCACGACUUGGAGUGAACGUGCACACCUCUGCAGAGUGUAAAACUGAUAUAUCAGCCGUGCUCACGGUCACGAGCGGCCCAGACCCUCACUUGAUGAGCAAAUUGGAUUCACUGGAUACUUGGAGAUGGAACUUGGCGAGGUUGCUACCUCGUGUUUUGGCGGAAUGGCUAUUCCGUGUUGGUAGGAUUGCUAUCCUGUGUUAAUAAUUGGGGUUAAUCCCUAGGCUUCUAUAUUAAUUAGGAUAGUCCUUUAAAAGAUGCUAAUUACUACUUACACUAAUUAAGGGUUGGGUUUAUGCUACUCAUAAUUAGUAAUAGGUUGUUCUUAUAAUAGUCAUAAUUAAAAGUGAUCAACUAAAAUGCUACCGCAGUCAAACCAAGUCAGCUUUACCUUGUUUUAAGCCUUGCAUGUCAUUACUUUCCGUCUGUGCUUGCUGAGUUCGACAUGAACUCACCCUUGCUAUUUCCUCCACACCCCCAGUGUGUAGUAAAGUGCUGCUCAGAAGAAGGAUAAAGAUGUCAUGGAGUUUUCUAGAAGCUUAUGAGAAGUGCUUGGCGUACGGAGCCCCCAGUCAACCGUCCCUGAGAAGAAUGGAGCCUAAGAAGUUCUAGCUACUGUUUCCGCGUACUCUGAUGUUUUGUAAGUGUUAAUAUAAAUAUGUUUUCCGCUAUAAAUAACAUUGUUUCUGAUAUUUCUAUUCUUUGUUGUAUGUGUGGACUUCCUGGGCACACAUAUGACAACUCUGGUCUUAUUUUAAAAGCCAGGGUGUGACAGCACAGAACUUUGACCCGGCAAAACCCCCCAGAAUUGGGCGUCGUAAGGUUUUAGUUGCGCCGGUGAUAUCUUUAGGGCGGGCAGGCUGUUGCGGAAGAGAAUGUCGAUGGAGCUUCCCCCGUCCACGAGCACGCGCUCGAAUCUGAUGCUAUUGAUGCAGGGAUCAAGAAUCAGUGGGAAACGUCCCGGCUCUGGGAUAGCGGCCCACUGGUCCUUCCUGCUGAACGAGAUCUCCCUGUGGGACCACGCGGGAAAUUUUGGAUCUGCGAUCAGCCCGUCCGUGCUGUCUAUGUUGAGGCAGGCUCUCUUUAACAGCUUUCUUUCUCGCUUGGACUCAGUGGAGACCUUGCCCCCGAAAAUGGAGUGGACCACGUCGGUGGGGCUGACGUAUUGGUGUCGGGGGUCCCUGUCUUGGUCCUCAUCCUCAUCUUCGUGGUCGUGCCCGUCGUGUUUGUUAUUUUUCUUGGCGGAGUCCUCUUGGGCGGCCCGCCGUGUAUAGAUACUUUUGAGGACGCGACACUCUUCCAUGGUAUGGUUAGACUUCGGGUGUAGCUGGCACGGUCCCUUCAAUGUUUUGUUGUAAUCGUCUUGGUAGUCCCGUCGUCCGUUGGGACGUUUGACCGUAUUUACUUCGUGGUCGUAUUCACGAGGGCGCUUUCCUCUGAAGUCGUCGCGGCUGUCGCGCCGCCGAUCCCAACCCUCUCGGUGAUCGCGGUUGUCGGAGCGGCGGUGAUUUCUGUUGUCGUAGCGACCACGACCGUCAUCCCGCCGAGAAGGCUGGUCGGGGCCUCUCGCGUCGUCUCGGAUUAGUUUUUCUGCGUCAUCAGCAUCGGCGUAGUUUUUAGCCGUGACGAGGAGCUCUGCUACCGUUGAUGGGCGUUUACGCAACAGCUUGUUCCUCAGCGCUUCAUGGAAACGCAAGCCCUUGAUAAACGCUGAUAUGGCCUCGUCGUGAGAAAUCUUCGGGAUUUUGAGGCGCAUAUCCGAGAAUCGUCGGAUGUAAUCGCGCAGAGGUUCAUUCUUCUUGUCUCUUAUCCUUUCAAGGUCAUACUUGUUCCCGGGCUGCUCGCAUGUGGCGAUGAAGUUGUCGAUGAAAGCCUGUCGUAGCUCUUCCCAAGAUUCGAAGGAGUCCUCGGGCAAGCCGAGAAGCCACUGAUGACCAGCCUGGUCGAGGACUACGGGGAAGUAGUUAGCCAUGACGUGCUCAUCUCCUGCCGCUGAUCGGACGGCGAUUUCAUAAAGAGUGAUCCAGUUCUCUGGAUUUUCCUUGCCGUCGUAUUUUUUAAGUUUUUCGAGCUUGAAAUUGCGGGGCCACACGACCUGGCGGAGGUGCGAGGAGAACUGCCUUAGGCCCGGGGGACCGUGGGUCGUGUCGUACUCGAUGCGGCGCAGGUUUUCGUGGACUGCUCUCUCUGCGGCGCGCCUGUUGAUGCGAUCCCGGGCAUCUUUGGGAGGGAUGUUGUGGCGGAGAUCCCUGUGUUGAUCUUCUUCUUCUUGGCCGCGUACACGGUUCUGCUGGCGGCGGCCAUCGGCGUCCCGACCACCAUCGUCGCGCCGUGAGUCCCCUCGACGGUUGUCGGGGGAGCGGCUGCGGCGGCGCCUGCUGGGUGAGGCCCGGCUGCGAUUAGUCUGGUCGGAGGCGGCUUCCGUAUAAGAGACGUCCUGGACUCUCUUGAGCAGAGUGGCUGUCUGUCCCAUUGCGGCGAUCAGGUGUGCUCGGAUACUGGUCCGGACUCCCUGGCAUUCGGGGGUGUCAGGAAGCCGAUCCAGGUUGGCCAUGGCGACAGCCACGUUGGCGCUUGGCGUUUUGUAGACCGGCUGGUCCCCGACCAUGUCAAAGGCAUCGUUGAGGUUGCUUGGCGGCAUCUGUUGUUGCUCGUCCGCACGCCGACGGGCGCGAUCGGCGUUACGCUGUUCGCGGAGUUGCCUCUGGUCAUCUGUUUCUCCGUCGACGACCGGCUCGUCGGCGCUGACAUUGAACACGAUAUCCCCUCGCCGGGGGGGGGGAAUAUCGGGAAUCGGUCGAAACCCGGAGGGUGUGAAGGAAAAUCCAGGUCGUAGCCCUCGUCUUCGGUGUUUAUAACCUCGGUGGGGACGGAGCCGGUGCUUGAGUUGGUGCUGGAAACCUGGCCGUCCCGUAGCUCUCGGAUUGUCACCAUGUUGACAUGGUGACGAUUGUUUCUUGUCGGCGACCAGCCCGCUUUGCUGAAAACGGAUUGAACAUGCUGUGAGUAAACAGAGGCUGAGUUAUUCAGGCCGCAAGGAUGGUCUCCCUUUUUGAGCUUGACGGAUCGUCCUGAGGGGGUUGAGGUUAUCGUCAGGGACGUUUCCAGCCGUUCGUGUGUGGUGACACGAGUUGGCCGGCGGGAUUUCGAAAAAUCCGCUCGAGUGGCUUGGUCGGGCCGGGGCAGAACUCCAUCUAUUAGUUGGGAGACUUCGAGCAGCUUGGAGUCGGCGCGAUCGAGCGCUUGGAGGAGGUCCGAGCAGUCGAUCUCCUUUCCCUUGUAGAGUGGGAACGGUGGUCGGGAGCUUGGUGCCGUCAUGCGUGUGGUCGGAGACGGCGUGAUCUCAGAUUGGAUCUGGAUCUCUUUCGGAACCGUGGUCGGGAAGCCGCCGCUGCACGUCGUCCACGUGAUCUGGCCGACGGUGAACGUGAGGCCUUCGGGCACGGUCGCGGAAGCUGGGAUCGUGACCAUCUUGUUCGCCGGAAAAGUUGCACGCACACCCCCUACCUGGCGCGCCACUGUCGACGAAAGCUGGUCGGCAGUCUACCUUGGGGUAUACCCACGGUAGUAGUUUAUCGGUAAACGGUGCGCAAACUACGAACUCGAUGGUGACGCAAGACACGGACAAGCUUUUUAUCCAGGUUCGGCCGCCGAGUUGGCGUAAUACCUACGUCCUGCGUCUGGUUGUAUUGGAUUGUGUUGAGAGAUCAUCUAUCCUAGGGGGGUCCCUUGCCCCUCCUUAUAUAGUCUGGAGGGCAGGGUUACAGAUCUAGAAACUAAUCCUAGUCGGUUACAAUUGCCAUAGAUAAUUCGAUAUCAAUUCCUAUUCUAACCGACUAGAAUCCUGCUUGAUCUCCACGUCUUGUUUCCUUGCGCGAAACUCGGCUUGUCGGAUCGAGCCUUGAACUUGUCUCGUAGUGGGUCAAGCUUCCUGGCUGAAGUCUAGCCGUAAGGGUAUAGGGGUUUAUACCCCCACAGGCGGGGAGAGACGGGGCUUGUAGCACACAGCCGCUUUCUAAAGGCCAGCGUGUUCGACCCCGAGGCUGGCAUCCCGCGGCAGGCGCGCUCGAAAUCGAGGCCAGUGUCCCUGUGCUCGACACGCUUGAACCCAAGGCCGGCGUACCCGCGGCCGGCAUGCGCGGCGCGAUUGACCCCGAGGCAGGUGUCCCCAAGUCCCUUGGCUGAUGGUGCCCCAACGCUAGCACGCUGGCGCCAGCACGCUCGCAGCUCGCACCCGUGUAGCCUGCAAGCCCUGGGGAGAAUGAUGAAGGCCAAAGGAGAAAGGGAUGGCGAGGAGGCAAUGUGGCUGCUGGUGUGCUCGAGGGAGGCAGGGAGAAGAAACAAAUGAAUCUAGGGUUUCUGAGAAAUCGGCUGCACAGUGGUUUUGUUCACGAAGAGGAGAAGCUUGGCCGUCGGAC
rnacentral:lncRNA from 1 species